GACGAACGCUGGCGGCGCGCUUAACACAUGCAAGUCGAACGGAAAGGCCUGCUUUCCCUUGUGGAUUGCGGGUACUCGAGUGGCGAACGGGUGAGUAACACGUGAGUGAUCUGCCCCCAACUUGGGUAUAAGCCUGGGAAACUGGGUCUAAUUCCCGAUAGGACUGCAGGGUGGUGCCUGUGGUGGAAAACGAUUUUCUAGUGGUUGGGGAUGAGCUCGCGGCCUAUCAGCUUGGUGGUGGGGUAAUGGCCUACCAAGGCGGCGACGGGUAGCCGGCCUGAGAGGGUGGACGGCCACAUUGGGACUGAGAUACGGCCCAGACUCCUACGGGAGGCAGCAGUUGGGACUAUUGCACAAUGGGCGGAAGCCUGAUGCAGCGACGCCGCGUGGGGGAUGACGGCCUUCGGGUUGUAAACUCCUUUCGACCGCGAGGAAGCCACCUGGUUGGAAGGGUGGUGACGGUAGUGGUAGAAGAAGCACCGGCUAACUACGUG
rnacentral:rRNA from 1 species